GGAGGGGGGGCAAGCGUUAUUCGGAAUUAUUGGGCGUAAAGGGCGUGUAGGCGGGCUUCGUGUGUCUUCUGUGAAAGCCCUCGGCUCAACCGAGGAACUGCAGGAGAAACUACGGAGCUCGAGUCCGGGAGAGGGGAGCGGAAUUCCCAGUGUAGCGGUGAAAUGCGUAGAUGUUGGGAGGAGCACCGGUGGCGAAGGCGGCUCUCUGGACCGGUACUGACGCUGAUACGCGAAAGCUAGGGGAGCGAACGGGAUUAGAUACCCCGGUAGUCCUAGCCGUAAACGAUGAGCACUUGGUGUGGCGGGUAUCGACCCCUGCCUGCCGAAGCUAACGCAUUAAGUGCUCCGCCUGGGGAGUACGGCCGCAAGGCUG
rnacentral:rRNA from 1 species